GACGAACGCUGGCGGCGUGCCUAACACAUGCAAGUCAACUUGACUGAAGGAGCAAUCUGACAGUAGAGUGGCGCAAGGGUGCGUAACGCGUAAGUAACUUGCCCAAGGUAAGGAAUAACGUCGAGAAAUCGGCGCUAAUACCUCAUAAUGCAGCGGAUCCGCAUGGAUAUGUUGUUAAAGGUUUACCGCCUUGGGAUAGGCUUGAAACGUCUGAUUAGCUAGUUGGUGUGGUAACGGCACACCAAGGCUACGAUCAGUAACUGGUCUGAGAGGAUGAUCAGUCACACUGGAACUGAGACACGGUCCAGACUCCUACGGGAGGCAGCAGUGAGGAAUAUUGGGCAAUGCUCGAAAGAGUGACCCAGCAACGCCGCGUGGAGGAUGAAGGUAUUCUAUAUCGUAAACUCCUGUGAGAGCAGACGAAAGACAGAUUAUUAAUCUGGAUGACUGUAUGCUCAGAGGAAGCCCCGGCUAACUACGU
rnacentral:rRNA from 1 species